rnacentral:rRNA from 1 species
AUUGAACGCUGGCGGCAGGCCUAACACAUGCAAGUCGAGCGGAUGAAGGGAGCUUGCUCCUGGAUUCAGCGGCGGACGGGUGAGUAAUGCCUAGGAAUCUGCCUGGUAGUGGGGGAUAACGUCCGGAAACGGGCGCUAAUACCGCAUACGUCCUGAGGGAGAAAGUGGGGGAUCUUCGGACCUCACGCUAUCAGAUGAGCCUAGGUCGGAUUAGCUAGUUGGUGGGGUAAAGGCCUACCAAGGCGACGAUCCGUAACUGGUCUGAGAGGAUGAUCAGUCACACUGGGACUGAGACACGGUCCAGACUCCUACGGAAGGCAGCAGUGGGGAAUAUUGGACAAUGGGCGAAAGCCUGAUCCAGCCAUGCCGCGUGUGUGAAGAAGGUCUUCGGAUUGUAAAGCACUUUAAGUUGGGAGGAAGGGCAGUAAGUUAAUACCUUGCUGUUUUGACGUUACCAACAGAAUAAGCACCGGCUAACUUCGUG